UACAGAGGGUGCGAGCGUUAAUCGGAAUUACUGGGCGUAAAGCGCGCGUAGGUGGUUUUGUAAGUCGGGUGUGAAAGCCCCAGGCUUAACCUGGGAACUGCAUUCGAGACUGCAUGACUAGAGUAUGGGAGAGGGCAGUGGAAUUUCCGGUGUAGCGGUGAAAUGCGUAGAGAUCGGGCGGAACACCAGCGGCGAAGGCGGCAUCCUGGUCCUGUUCUGACGCUGAGGCG
rnacentral:rRNA from 1 species